AGGACGAACGCUGGCGGCGUGCUUAACACAUGCAAGUCGAACGGAAAGGCCCUUUCGGGGGUGCUCGAGUGGCGAACGGGUGAGUAACACGUGGGUGAUCUGCCCUGCACUUUGGGAUAAGCCUGGGAAACUGGGUCUAAUACCGGAUAGGACUACGAAUCGCAUGGUUUGUGGUGGAAAGCUUUUGCGGUGUGGGAUGGGCCCGCGGCCUAUCAGCUUGUUGGUGGGGUGAUGGCCUACCAAGGCGACGACGGGUAGCCGGCCUGAGAGGGUGUCCGGCCACACUGGGACUGAGAUACGGCCCAGACUCCUACGGGAGGCAGCAGUGGGGAAUAUUGCACAAUGGGCGCAAGCCUGAUGCAGCGACGCCGCGUGAGGGAUGACGGCCUUCGGUUGUAAACCUCUUCAGUACCGACGAAGCGCAAGUGACGGUAGGUACGAGAAGAAGCACCGGACCAACUACGUGCCAGCAGCCGCGGUAA
rnacentral:rRNA from 1 species